rnacentral:rRNA from 1 species
GUGAGCCAGUACAGGAUGGACCCGCGUCUGAUUAGCUAGUUGGUAAGGUAACGGCUUACCAAGGCGACGAUCAGUAGCCGACCUGAGAGGGUGAUCGGCCACAUUGGAACUGAGACACGGUCCAAACUCCUACGGGAGGCAGCAGUGGGGAAUAUUGCACAAUGGGCGAAAGCCGGAUGCAGCAACGCCGCGUGAGUGAUGAAGGCCGUCGGGUCGUAAAACUCUGUCCUCAAGGAAGGAAAUGUCGGUACUUGGGGAGGAAGCCCCGGUUAACUACGUGACAGCAGCCUCGGUAAUACGUAGUGUGCUAUCGUUAUCCGGAUGUACUGGGCGUAAAGGG